GAUGAACGCUGGCGGCGUGCUUAACACAUGCAAGUCGAACGGGAAACCUUUUAUUGAAGCUUCGGCAGAUUUAGCUGGUUUCUAGUGGCGGACGGGUGAGUAACGCGUGGGUAACCUGCCUUAUACAGGGGGAUAACAACCAGAAAUGGUUGCUAAUACCGCAUAAGCGCACAGGACCGCAUGGUCCGGUGUGAAAAACUCCGGUGGUAUAAGAUGGACCCGCGUUGGAUUAGCUAGUUGGCAGGGUAACGGCCUACCAAGGCGACGAUCCAUAGCCGGCCUGAGAAGGAACGGCCACAUUGGGACUGAGACACGGCCCAGACUCCUACGGGAGGCAGCAGUGGGGAAUAUUGCACAAUGGGGGAAACCCUGAUGCAGCGACGCCGCGUGAAGGAAGAAGUAUCUCGGUAUGUAAACUUCUAUCAGCAGGGAAGAUAGUGACGGUACCUGACUAAGAAGCCCCGGCUAACUACGUG
rnacentral:rRNA from 1 species